rnacentral:rRNA from 1 species
GGUUAAGCGAAUAAGCGUACACGGUGGAUGCCUAGGCAAUCAGAGGCGAUGAAGGACGUGCUAAUCUGCGAAAAGCGUCGGUAAGGUGAUAUGAACCGUUAUACCCGACGAUAUCCGAAUGGGGAAACCCAGUAUCCAAUGGAUACUAUCAUUAACUGAAUCCAUAGGUUAAUGAGGCGAACCGGGAGAACUGAAACAUCUCAGUACCCCGAGGAAAAGAAAUCAACCGAGAUUCCCCUAGUAGCGGCGAGCGAACGGGGAGCAGCCCAGAGUCUUAAUCAAUA